UGCGCAGGCGGCGUAUUAAGUCAGUGGUGAAAUCUCUCGGCUCAACCGAGAAACUGCCAUUGAAACUGAUAAGCUUGAGUGUAGUUGUAGUAGGCGGAAUAUAGCAUGUAGCGGUGAAAUGCUUAGAUAUGCUAUAGAACACCGAUCGCGAAGGCAGCUUACUAAACUAUCACUGACGCUCAUGCACGAAAGCGUGGGGAGCAAACAGGAUUAGAUACCCUGGUAGUCC
rnacentral:rRNA from 1 species